UAAANAGCGAAACUGCGAAUGGCUCAUUAUAUAAGUUAUCGUUUAUUUGAUAGUACCUUACUACAUGGAUAACCGUGGUAAUUCUAGAGCUAAUACAUGCUGAAAAUCCCGACUUCGGAAGGGAUGUAUUUAUUAGAUUCAAAACCAAUGCCCUUCGGGGCUCCAAUGGUGAUUCAUGAUAACUUCUCGAAUCGCACGGCCCCGCGCCGGCGAUGGUUCAUUCAAAUUUCUUCCCUAUCAACUUUCGAUGCUACGGUAGUGUCCUAGCAUGGUUGCAACGGGUAACGGGGAAUA
rnacentral:rRNA from 1 species